rnacentral:lncRNA from 12 species
AAAAAUACUUUUUUUUUUUUACAAUGAUCAUGCUUUACUUUUCUUAUUCAAAUCUUUGACUCCUUUCUAAAGAUAAAGUCCUAGAAGUAGAAGAGCUGGGUCAAUGGAUACAUCCUUUUAAUGACACUGAAUACAUAUUGCCAAAUUGCCCUUAAGAAGAUCUCACUAUCAAAACAUUGAAGGGGUCAAUUACUUUGGAAACCUUCAAUCUAACUGCAAUUAUGACUGACCUCUUAAUAAAGGGAUGUAAAGUGUCAGGGAGCCAGUGAGGGAGAUUCCUAUGGUGCCACCUUCCCCCGGCCACGAGAAACCACUGCUCAUCUGCCAGCCUCACAGCCAGAGCCACUUCAGCUACCAUCCCAGAAAAGUCCACCUAUCAGGAUUCUGGGCAUUUUCCUCAGAGACCCCUGGGCUUCCUUUCUAAAUAAAUGGUUCAUUCACCACAAAGAAAAAUCACAAGGAUGUGCAUGCUUGCUACAGAGGGUCCCUCUCCUGGAAUCAACAGCCCCAGCCACAUGUUCAUUGGUGCGACUACACUCGGCCACCUGUGAACACUGUUUCCAGGCCCCCAGGUUGAACACCCUCCCUGCUUGCCUCCUCACUGAUAUACUUUGAGAUUCUAGUGACAGGCCUCUGACAAAAGACAGGAGGCAGCUUGAGGACUAGAAGCAGGGUUUGGAGAGAUUGACCCCGACUUGGCUUUGG